GAUAAUAUGGCUGAGUUUAGGCAAUAAAUUGUAAAUUUAUUUACGGGCUUUAUCCCCUGUUAUCA
rnacentral:tRNA from 1 species